rnacentral:rRNA from 1 species
GACGAACGCUGGCGGCGUGCUUAACACAUGCAAGUCGAGCGGUAAGGCCCUUUCGGGGGUACACGAGCGGCGAACGGGUGAGUAACACGUGGGUGACCUGCCCUCAGCUCUGGGAUAAGCCUGGGAAACUGGGUCUAAUACCGGAUAUGACUCCAUGACGCAUGUUGUGGGGUGGAAAGCCUUGUGCGGCUGAGGAUGGGCCCGCGGCCUAUCAGCUUGUUGGUGGGGNGAUGGCCUACCAAGGCGACGGCGGGUAGCCGGCCUGAGAGGGCGACCGGCCACACUGGGACUGAGACACGGCCCAGACUCCUACGGGAGGCAGCAGGUGGGGAAUCUUGCGCAAUGGGCGAAAGCCUGACGCAGCGACGCCGCGUGAGGGAUGAC